AACGAACGCUGGCGGCGCGCCUAAUACAUGCAAGUCGAACGAGAAUGUGUAGCAAUACACAUGUAAAGUGGCGAACGGGUGAGGAAUACAUAGGUAACCUACCCUCGAGUGGGGAAUAACUAGCCGAAAGGUUAGCUAAUACCGCGUACGCUCCCCGGACUACGGUUCGGGGAGGAAAGCGAUACCAUGGGUAUCGCGUUCUUGGAUGGGCUUAUGUCCUAUCAGCUUGUUGGUGAGGUAAUGGCUCACCAAGGCUUCGACGGGUAGCUGGUCUGAGAGGACGAUCAGCCACACUGGCACUGCGACACGGGCCAGACUCCUACGGGAGGCAGCAGUAAGGAAUAUUGCGCAAUGGGCGACAGCCUGACGCAGCGACGCCGCGUGGGGGACGAAGGUCUUCGGAUUGUAAACCCCUUUCGGGAGGGAAGAUGGGAUGGGUAACCAUUCGGACGGUACCUCCAGAAGCAGCCACGGCUAACUUCGUGCCAGCAGCCGCGGUAAUACGAAGGUGGCAAGCGUUGUUCGGAUUUACUGGGCGUACAGGGAGCGUAGGCGGUUCAGUAAGCCCUUUGUGAAAUCUCCAGGCUUAACCUGGAACAGCCGGAGGGGACUGCUGAGCUAGAGGAUGGGAGAGGAGCGCGGAAUUCCCGGUGUAGCGGUGAAAUGCGUAGAG
rnacentral:rRNA from 1 species